rnacentral:rRNA from 1 species
CUUUCACUCUGUCGGUAGGCCUAACACAUGCAAGUCGAACGGCAGCACAGUAAGAGCUUGCUCUUACGGGUGGCGAGUGGCGGACGGGUGAGGAAUACAUCGGAAUCUACUUUUUCGUGGGGGAUAACGUAGGGAAACUUACGCUAAUACCGCAUACGACCUACGGGUGAAAGCAGGGGAUCUUCGGACCUUGCGCGAUUGAAUGAGCCGAUGUCGGAUUAGCUAGUUGGCGGGGUAAAGGCCCACCAAGGCGACGAUCCGUAGCUGGUCUGAGAGGAUGAUCAGCCACACUGGAACUGAGACACGGUCCAGACUCCUACGGGAGGCAGCAGUGGGGAAUAUUGGACAAUGGGCGCAAGCCUGAUCCAGCCAUACCGCGUGGGUGAAGAAGGCCUUCGGGUUGUAAAGCCCUUUUGUUGGGAAAGAAAAGCAGCAGGUUAAUACCCCGCUGUUCUGACGGUACCCAAAGAAUAAGCACCGGCUAACUUCGUG